rnacentral:rRNA from 1 species
UACGUAGGGUGCAAGCGUUGUCCGGAAUUAUUGGGGCGUAAAGAGCUUGUAGGCGGUUUGUCGCGUCUGCUGUGAAAUUUCGGGGCUCAACCCCCGAACUUGCAGUGGGUACGGGGCAGACUAGAGUGUGGUAGGGGAGACUGGAAUUCCUGGUGUAGCGGUGAAAUGCGCAGAUAUCAGGAGGACACCGAUGGCGAAGGCAGGUCUCUGGGCCACUACUGACGCUGAGAAGCGAAAGCAUGGGGAGCGAACAGG